AUCGGAGGCUAAACUCCUCCCUAGCGCC
rnacentral:tRNA from 1 species